rnacentral:rRNA from 1 species
CUUUAGGGUCGUAAAGCUCUGUCAAGUGGGAAGAAACCAUUUGGUGUUAAUACCACCAAGUGCUGACGGUACCACUGAAGGAAGCACCGGCUAACUCCGUGCCAGCAGCCGCGGUAAUACGGGGGGUGCAAGCGUUAUUCGGAAUUACUGGGCGUAAAGAGCGCGUAGGCGGUCUUUUAAGUCAGGUGUGAAAGCCCGGGGCUCAACCCCGGAAGUGCACUUGAAACUGAAGGACUUGAGUAUGGGAGAGGGAAGUGGAAUUCCUGGUGUAGCGGUGAAAUGCGUAGAUAUCAGGAGGAACAUCGGUGGCGAAGGCGACUUCCUGGACCAAUACUGACGCUGAGGCGCGAAGGCGUGGGGAGCAAACAGGAUUAGAUACCC